UUCCGAAGCUAAGAAAAAUACUUCUAUAAAUAUUGGACAAUACAUUAAAAAGACUGACUGAUACUGAAAGCAGUAGCGAUUUUGAUUUCACUGCUACUCCCCCGGAUAUUGUAGAAUUUGCGAAAGCGACUGCUGGCAAUUUGUUGCCUGAAAGAUUUAUACCUUAAACAAUAUGACACUUUCAUGCAAUGGCGAAAAUUAAAAAGAGCUAAUUCGUUCUCCUAAAAUGUGAUUUUCGCCUAUUUUAGUCAGUUAGCUAAGUCUAAUGAAGCUUUAACACUAUGGAAACUGUAUUCAAUGAUUAGAACAACAAUUAACAUUAAACACAAUACAGAUAUAUCAAAAUAUGCCAGGCUACGAGCAUUUUUGAAAAAACAAUCUGAUGGUUAUCGAGGAAAAAAAUCAAAGAUAUUAACUAGAGAAGAAGUUAACCACUUUAUAAAUAAUGGUCCAGAUCAUAUUUAUCUUGCUACAAAGGUUGCUAUGAUAUUAGGAAUUAUGGGAGCUUGUCGAAAACAGGAGCUCGACUUAAUGAAAGUUCAGAAUAUUGAGAACUUGGGAUCCGCUAUAAUAAUAAAUGUUCCUAAUACAAAAACUAAAGAGCCUAGACAAUUAACAAUCACUGGAAAGUUUUAUACCUUAUUUAAAAAAUAUGUAUCUCUACGGCCACCAGAUAUUGCGACAAAUAGUAUCUUCAUUAACUUUCAAAAUGGACGCUGCACCAAGCAAGUGAUUAGAAUAAACAAACUACGAAAUAUGCCUAAACAAGUGGCACAAUUUUUGAACUUACCCAACCCUGGAUUAUACACGAGUCAUUGUUUUCGCAGGACAUCUGCAACAAUGAUUGUGGAUUCUGGGGUGAAUAUAGAAACAUUAAAAAGACACGGAGGGUGGAAAUCUACAGAAACCGCUGAAGGAUAUAUAGAUAACUCAUUACAAAACCGCCUUAAUGUUUCAAAUCAAAUAAUGUCUUAAAUUAAUGAAAAUGAGGAACCAAUACCCACAAAAACCCAAAUUUCAGCAAAAAAAACUGCAAGAACUACAAGUAGAGCUUCCAUGUGCAAGUGCUAACUCCUAACAGCAAAACAUAUUUGCCUCAUUAAGGACUAAAAACAUAUCGGAUUCUAUCUUUGCCGGCCAGACGAGGGUGGUACAGAAGCCAGGAUGUAAAACCAGUAGAGGAAGACGCUAGUAGCUUAACAAAAUAGGAACUCCAUGCUAUUAAACCAUCCUAGCUUAAGACACUGGCUUACUGUCUUUCUCACUUAGUUACUAGCCCACACGCGAAACUAGUUCUGUAUACAUGAAGCUAGUAAUACUAGCUUGCUAGUUUAAACGCGCUAGCUUGCUAUCCUAGCUUGAAAAACUAGCCUCGUGUAAUCCGGGCAUUAGAGUUUGCUUGACCCAACCGCCUAUCCUAGGAUCUAUACGUCGUGUAAAUAUAUGUUUGUAAUGAGAACGAACAAAGUGUAUAUGUUAUCAGUCCGAUCAACUUUGUUAAUAUCCAUUCUAUUUAUGUUAAUUGGCACCAUAAAAGUCGAUAACAAAUCUUUAUAACAGAAAACCAUCUUAUUAUGUAAGUGUAAAAUUACUAUACUUUUUCACUUUCACAAUAUUUGUUUAGGUCCCCCAAUUUUAGAAGAAGUCGUAUUAAAAAUAUAUAGAACAGGGAGCAAAAUAUAGUUCCUCGCUGUGCUAUAUACAAUAAUUUGAAGUAAAAAAUAAUUUUAGUAUCUCCCACUGUUCUCUUAACAACUUGAGGCAACGAGAACUAAUAAGGUCGCGCUGGUAUAGUAAUUUUGUGUGGCUGUCGUGAACCUCGUCACUAUAAAAAAAAACAAAAAUGUUCUGGUUCAAUCUUUGCAACUUCGUGUAAUGUUCUUAUA